rnacentral:rRNA from 1 species
AGCAGUGGGGAAUAUUGCACAAUGGAGGAAACUCUGAUGCAGCGACGCCGCGUGAGUGAAGAAGUAUUUCGGUAUGUAAAGCUCUAUCAGCAGGGAAGAAAAGAAUGACGGUACCUGAAUAAGAAGCCCCGGCUAACUACGUGCCAGCAGCCGCGGUAAUACGUAGGGGGCAAGCGUUAUUCGGAUUUACUGGGUGUAAAGGGAGCGUAGACAGCAGUGCAAGUCUGGUGUGAAAACCCAUGGCUCAACCAUGGGAUUGCAUUGGAAACUGUAUUGCUGGAGUGCAGGAGAGGUAAGCGGAAUUCCUGGUGUAGCGGUGAAAUGCGUAGAUAUCAGGAGGAACACCGGUGGCGAAGGCGGCUUACUGGACUGUAACUGACGUUGAGGCUCGAAGGCGUGGGGAGCAAACAGGAUUAGAUACCCUGGUAGUCCACGCAGUAAACGAUGAUUACCAGGUGUCGGGGGGCUAAGCCCCUCGGUGCCGCAGCAAACGCAGUGAGUAAUCCACCUGGGGAGUACGUUCGCAAGAAUGAAACUCAAAGGAAUUGACGGAAUCU